rnacentral:rRNA from 1 species
GAUGAACGCUGGCGGCGUGCCUAAUACAUGCAAGUCGAGCGAACAGACGAGGAGCUUGCUCCUCUGACGUUAGCGGCGGACGGGUGAGUAACACGUGGAUAACCUACCUAUAAGACUGGGAUAACUUCGGGAAACCGGAGCUAAUACCGGAAAAUAUAUUGAACCGCAUGGUUCAAUAGUGAAAGACGGUUUUGCUGUCACUUAUAGAUGGAUCCGCGCCGCAUUAGCUAGUUGGUAAGGUAACGGCUUACCAAGGCAACGAUGCGUAGCCGACAUGAGAGGGUGAUCGGCCACACUGGAACUGAGACACGGUCCAGACUCCUACGGGAGGCAGCAGUAGAGAAUCUUCCGCAAGGGGCGAAAGCCUGACGGAGCAACGCCGCGUGAGUGAUGAAGGUCUUCGGAUCGUAAAACUCUGUUAUUAGGGAAGAACAAAUGUGUAAGUAACUAUGCACGUCUUGACGGUACCUAAUCAGAAAGCCACGGCUAACUACGUG